AUGAUGCUGGCUUGUGCACCGGCUUUGCAGAUUCUGGGACAAUUUUUGCCUGGAGGGAGGUGCCUCUGCGGCGCCAGGAGGGCCCCGUGCUCCCUGUCACCGCUGCAAGCCCAGGACAAGUGCCGGGAUCUGUGCCUCACUGCCAGCGCUGCUGGGCCAAGGAUCUUGAUCAGAGUCCCGUGUCACAUCGGCUCCUGCCCCAGGUGUCCCCAUGGCGGUGCGGCAGCGGGGCAGGAGCAUCUCCAGCUCGCGGGGCGGGUACGGCCUGGGGCAGCUCCAGCCAGGCAGCUCCUUUGGCCUCGGGCAAUGCCCAGCAGCAACCCGCAGCCCGGCACUUGCACAGCGCAGCAGCUCAGGGCUCUCUCUUAUCUUUCUGUGUUGCUUUGGGGUGAGGCUUGCAGCACUGGCCUUCUGUCACCGGCGCUGCUCCCAGCAGCGCAGCCCGUGGGGGUGUUUACGCAGAAAGGAAACCGCAGCGCACAACACUCGCUGCACGGGCUACACGUAUGGGGCAGGGAGCGUGCCGGGAGCCAGACCUCUGCUCUCGUGCUCCCAGCCCUGGCUCCUGCCACCUCGGUGGGGCAGCAGAGCCAGGCACAGGCACCCCGUGGCGGUCAGAAGAGGGGCUGCUGUGCCCCCUGUGUCCCCCAGCCCAGCCUCGGACCCCACGGAGAAAGCAGGGUUGUGGGGUGCCCCAGCUGCGCUGCACGCGGGUGGAUAGGAUGCGCUAACACAUCUCACAGGCUGUUCUGUGCCGGGGAGCUAAAUAUAACCCAGAGCAGAGCAGAGGGGCUUUGUAAUGUAAAUAGAAAGGGAGAGCGAGCUUGGUCACCCUGGGCAGGGCAGGGCAGGGGGGCGAGGAGGGUGGGCUUGUUCCAGCCACGGUGCAGGUACGUGAUACGUUUCCCCAAUGCUGACUUGCAGAUGGACAGGGUGUCAGUCCCUGCGUGGGGACAGCAGAAAUGGGGAUUUCUGUGCACCCUGGGAGCAGAGAGUGCACAGCACCCCCCUCCCAGCCGGGCAGCGCUGGGGCUGGGAGAACGCCUGGGCUGCAAGGGGAGAGGGGCAGCAAGGCUGCCUCCUUCCCGCAGCCUGAAUCCUCUCUGCUGCCCUGUUAAUCGCGUUAGCCUGGCUGUGCCGAGCAGCGUAAUCAAAUUCCCAUUCAUCCCCACCAAGCCAAGCCUGCUCUGCCUUGACAGAGACAUCCGUCUCUGCGUCCCUCCAUGCAGGGGGGGAGGAGGUGGCUGGCACCCCGGGCACGGCUGGGGGCAUGCUGGCAGCGCUGGCAAACCCUGCAGAGCAGGCAGCUCCUCACAGACCUGUGUAGGGGGUGACAAGCAGCUGUAG
rnacentral:lncRNA from 1 species